rnacentral:rRNA from 1 species
UGGGGAAUAUUGCACAAUGGGCGAAAGCCUGAUGCAGCAACGCCGCGUGAGUGAUGAAGGCCUUCGGGUUGUAAAGCUCUGUCUUUUGGGACGAUAAUGACGGUACCAAAGGAGGAAGCCACGGCUAACUACGUGCCAGCAGCCGCGGUAAUACGUAGGUGGCAAGCGUUGUCCGGAUUUACUGGGCGUAAAGGAUGCGUAGGCGGAUUUUUAAGUGAGAUGUGAAAUACCCGGGCUUAACUUGGGUGCUGCAUUUCAAACUGGGAAUCUAGAGUGCGGGAGAGGAGAAUGGAAUUCCUAGUGUAGCGGUGAAAUGCGUAGAGAUUAGGAAGAACACCAGUGGCGAAGGCGAUUCUCUGGACCGUAACUGGCGCUGAGGCAUGAAAGCGUGGGUAGCAAACAGGAUUAGAUACCCUGGUAGUCCACGCCGUAAACGAUGAGUACUAGGUGUAGGAGGUAUCGACCCCUUCUGUGCCGCAGUUAACACAAUAAGUACUCCGCCUGGGAAGUACGAUCGCAAGAUUAAAACUCAAAGGAAUUGACGGGGUCAUAGCUGUUUUCCU